rnacentral:rRNA from 1 species
CCCAGUAAACGGCGGCCGUAACUAUAACGGUCCUAAGGUAGCGAAAUUCCUUGUCGGGUAAGUUCCGACCCGCACGAAAGGUGUAACGAUUUGGGCACUGUCUCAACGAGGGACCCGGUGAAAUUGAAAUACCUGUGAAGAUGCAGGUUACCCGCGACUGGACAGAAAGACCCCAUGGAGCUUUACUGUAACCUGACAUUGGGUUUUGAUACAUUACGUACAGGAUAGGUGGGAGGCUUGGAAAGCUGGACGCUAGUCUGGCUGGAGCCGACGUUGGGAUACCACCCUUGAUGUAUUGAAAUUCUAACCGCGAGAGUAACGAAAUCCGGGACAGUGUCAGGCGGGCAGUUUGACUGGGGCGGUCGCCUCCGAAAGAGUAACGGAGGCGCCCAAAGGUUCCCUCAGCGCGGCCGGAAAUCGCGCGAAGAGUGUAAAGGCAGAAGGGAGCUUGACUGCGAGUCAAACACGACGAGCAGGUACGAAAGUAGGGCUUAGUGAUCCGGUGGUACCGAGUGGAAGGGCCAUCGCUCAACGGAUAAAAGCUACCCUGGGGAUAACAGGCUAAUCUCUCCCAAGAGUCCAUAUCGACGGGGAGGUUUGGCACCUCGAUGUCGGCUCAUCACAUCCUGGGGCUGAAGUCGGUCCCAAGGGUUGGGCUGUUCGCCCAUUAAAGUGGUACGUGAGCUGGGUUCAGAACGUCGUGAGACAGUUCGGUCCCUAUCCAUCGCGGGCGCAAGAGAUUUGAAGGGGGCUGCUCCUAGUACGAGAGGACCGGAGUGGACGAACCGCUGGUGUACCAAUUAUCCCGCCAGGGGUACAGUUGGGUAGCUACGUUCGGAAAGGAUAAACGCUGAAAGCAUCUAAGCGUGAAACCAGCCUUAAGAUGAGAUCUCUCAUAGAGCAAUCUAGUAAGACACCUUAAAGAAGAUGAGGUUGAUAGGUCGGGAGUGUAAGUACAGCAAUGUAUUGAGCGGACCGAUACUAAUAUGUCGAGGGCUUGACUUA